rnacentral:antisense_RNA from 1 species
CCCACGUGACCAGGUUCGGACACAGUCUGCAGCUGCCCAGCUCGCACCCCCACUCUGCAGUGCAGUAUAUGGGGAGCUCAGGGCACAGCAGGCCAGGCCUCCCCGUGGACGUCCAGGAACCAGAACCAAACUGCCCAGGGCCCCAAAGGGGAAGACGUCUCAGCAGACGGACAGCCGAGGCUCAUACGGCAAGCUCUGGCAGCCUGUCGGUCCCAGGAGAGAGGAGCAGAUGGCAGACAGGAAAAGAAACCACCUGCUGGGAUGCUGAGACUCGCUCGCAGGAGCUUUCGGAACUGGCUGAGGUCAGCUGGAACCAAUGUGGCCAGCUAGAGUCUGCACAGCCGGAGUUUCCACCCCGGGGUCCCAGUAACUCCCCCAAAUGUACACACGAGACCUAUGAGGAGACACAACUUUCCAGAACCCCCUUUUCUUCCACCAGCCACUUACUAAUCCAAGAACCCACCCCCGAACCUUCCCUAAUAGAAACUGCAUUAAAGCCAGCGCGGGGAGACAGACGUGAACUGCACCCCUGUCUUCUGGUGGGCUGGCCUAGAAUAAAAGCUUUUCUUUUCUCAAAAACC